UUGCUUGUUACUGAAAUUUUUCCGAAUUCUUAAAAAAAAUGUGAUGUAAUGUUAAUGAAGCUGUGAGUCACAAAACGUACUCGGAUGAAAAUAAGGAUCCGAGUAUUGUACAGUAGCUUCUUUGUUAAGAACAAUUGAAAAUCUGGAACUAUAUUACGAAUUGGUACAAGAUUUUUAGAAAGUGGCCCCAUUUUCACAAGAGUGGAAUUUUAAGUAAUGAAUGCACCAUAAGAAUAUAUGUGUUUCAUAAGAAUAUAUUUUCUGAUAGAAAUAUGGGCGUUUUGUCAUUUCCGACUGGGUGCACCUUUUGAAAUACUUUGCUCUCGUUGCUCAAGUGUUAUCCUUCACUUCCGUGUGGGAAGAAAACAAAUCAAGUAAGAAACUAGUACUAAAACUACAUUGGCUGCAACAAACAUAUAUAAUGUGGUUCUAUGAUUUUAUAUUGACUUAAAAAACGUUAAUAAACGUGUGUAUAUAUUUAUAAUGGGCUACUUACGAAGAUACUUUCAUGUGUUACAUAUAACACAUGUAUGUAUGCAUUCCAAUUAAGUUUAAUUGUGGUUACACAACUGUUGACAAGGAGAAUUGGAGAUUAUUCCUGAAAGAGAUUAUUGAAAGAAUGAGAGACUGAAUAUAUUCUCCAAGAGCUCUAGAGACAAUAUAACAGAAGCAUCUAAAUCGAUUGAUGUGCGUGUGAACACAUGGGUUCCAUUUAAUCAAUCGGUAGCUGCAUAGUAAACGACAGUCGACUUACGC